rnacentral:rRNA from 1 species
GAUGAAUGUUGGCGGUGUGCCUGAGAUAUGCAAGUCGAACGUCUUCCUGCCGCAAGGCGGGAGGUAGUGGCGGACGGCUGAGUAACACGUAGGGACUUACCUCUUUUUGAAGGAUAGCCCAUCGAAAGGUGGGAUAAUACUUCAUGGUACGGAUACCGUAAGGUAUUUGUUAAAGAGAUUAACUUCUUGAAAAGAGAUGGACCUGCGGCUUAUCAGAUAGUUGGUGGGGUAACGGCCUACCAAGUCAACGACGAGUAGCUGGCCUGAGAAGGUGGUCAGCCAGAGGGGGACUGAGACACGGCCCCCACUCCUACGGGAGGCAG